GUGUCAGCAGCCGCGGUAAUACGUAGGGUGCGAGCGUUAAUCGGAAUUACUGGGCGUAAAGCGUGCGCAGGCGGUUUGUUAAGUCAGAUGUGAAAGCCCCGGGCUUAACCUGGGAACGGCAUUUGAAACUGGCAGGCUGGAGUACGGCAGAGGGGGGUGGAAUUCCACGUGUAGCAGUGAAAUGCGUAGAGAUGUGGAGGAACACCGAUGGCGAAGGCAGCCCCCUGGGCCGAUACUGACGCUCAGGCACGAAAGCGUGGGGAGCAAACAGGAUUAGAUACCCCGGUAGUCC
rnacentral:rRNA from 1 species